rnacentral:rRNA from 1 species
AGAGUUUGAUCAUGGCUCAGAACGAACGCUGGCGGCAUGCCUAACACAUGCAAGUCGAACGAGACCUUCGGGUCUAGUGGCGCACGGGUGCGUAACGCGUGGGAAUCUGCCCAAAGGUUCGGAAUAACUCAGGGAAACUUGAGCUAAUACCGAAUGAUGCCGAGAGGCCAAAGAUUUAUCGCCUUUGGAUGAGCCCGCGUUGGAUUAGCUAGUUGGUGGGGUAAAGGCCUACCAAGGCGACGAUCCAUAGCUGGUCUGAGAGGAUGAUCAGCCACACUGGGACUGAGACACGGCCCAGACUCCUACGGGAGGCAGCAGUGGGGAAUAUUGGACAAUGGGCGAAAGCCUGAUCCAGCAAUGCCGCGUGAGUGAAGAAGGCCUUCGGGUUGUAAAGCUCUUUUACCCGGGAAGAUAAUGACUGUACCGGGAGAAUAAGCCCCGGCUAACUCCGUGCCAGCCGCCGCGGUAAUUC